GACAAGGACUAUAUUUCCCAUACACGCAUUCUCCGGAGUUCUGAUCACAGACACCUGCACUCAAUCACACACACAGUAUUUAGGUCAUGCUUAGAACAAUGGUUACUCGCGAAGUAAACGUUCAGCAGUCUCGUCACUGUCGUUCACCAACCCAUCAUCAUUGUUUUGGAUUUUCCUGGUUCUCGGAUUUACUGCCUUGUGUUUUGACUACGAUUCCCUGCCUUGCCUAGCAUUGUCUGUUCACCCGAUCGCCUGACCUCUGCCUGUUUUACAAAUUCGCCUUCAGCCUGAUCCUCGCCUUCCAGCGUCUGUAUCACCUGCGCUUGCUUCCGCCUCAGCUUCCUGGUCACAGCUAUAGCUUGACCAAAUCCAACCUCGAGGUGUGUGUGUGUGUGUGUGUGUGUGUGUGUGUGUGUGUGUGUGUGUGUGUGUGUGUGUUCACAUGACGUUUGGAGGUGAACUGAUCAUCUGAUGAGACAACGCAAAGCCUAAAAACUCAGAUUGAUUACCUCAGUGGUUCAUGAUGUGCCUAAACCAGGAUGUGACUGACAUCCAGAUAAUCGAUGGAGAUAUUCUUCUGACACAGCCAUAUGUGGAAAUUUUCUAAAUGAAUCUAUGCCUUAACUAAAUAGAAUCAUUCAAUCUGCGGUAAUGACUAGCUUAAUGAUUGUGUAAAAUUAUAAUUGUUGAUGUAAUGAAUGUGUACGUAGUGUGAAUCUGAUGAAACUGCAAACUAUUCUUCAUUAAAACUUUCUUCAAUUGAUUGC